CUUUACGACAAUAAACAUCAUUAUGUAAGCAAGAGAAACCAUGAGACCCCCACCAACACUACGUAUAGACACAGAUACUGUGAUGCUCUUUGAUGCUUCGUCAUUCGCUACACGAUUUCCACAAAUCUCCAUGAUUCGUGAAUAUUCUUCCUCAUAAAUCUAGAAAAUAUAUAUCUAUUCAUAUUCUGUUAAUGCUUUUUAAUAAAUAAUGUGAAACUC